rnacentral:rRNA from 1 species
GACGAACGCUGGCGGCGUGCUUAACACAUGCAAGUCGAACGGAAAGGCGCUGCUCUUGUUGGGUGCUCGAGUGGCGAACGGGUGAGUAACACGUGAGUAACCUGCCCUUGCCUUUGGGAUAACUUCAGGAAACUGGGGCUAAUAUCGGAUAGGAUCUUCUGGUGCAUGGUGGGGGUUGGUAAGUGUCGGCGGUUGGGGCUGUACUCUAGGCUCAUCAGCUUGUUGGUGGGGUAGGGGCUGACCAAGGCUUUGACGGGUAGGCGGCCUGAGCGGGGUACCGGCAACGUGGGGACUGCGAUAGGGCGCAGCAGGGUAGGGUAGGCAACAGUGGGGAAUAUUGCGCAGCAGGCGGAAGCCUGAUGCAGCAGCGCCGCGUGCGUGAUGACGGCCUUUGGGUUGUAAACCGCUUUCGCCUGUGAUGAAGCGUGAGUGACGGUAACGGGUAAAGAAGCACCGGCUAACUACGUG